AACGAACGCUGGCGGCAUGCCUAACACAUGCAAGUCGAACGAAGGCUUCGGCCUUAGUGGCGCACGGGUGCGUAACGCGUGGGAAUCUGCCCUUUGGUUCGGAAUAACAGCUGGAAACGGCUGCUAAUACCGGAUGAUGACGAAAGUCCAAAGAUUUAUCGCCAGAGGAUGAGCCCGCGUUGGAUUAGGUAGUUGGUGGGGUAAAGGCCUACCAAGCCGACGAUCCAUAGCUGGUCUGAGAGGAUGAUCAGCCACACUGGGACUGAGACACGGCCCAGACUCCUACGGGAGGCGGCAGUGGGGAAUAUUGGACAAUGGGCGCAAGCCUGAUCCAGCAAUGCCGCGUGAGUGAUGAAGGCCCUAGGGUUGUAAAGCUCUUUUACCCGGGAAGAUAAUGACUGUACCGGGAGAAUAAGCCCCGGCUAACUCCGUG
rnacentral:rRNA from 1 species